UCCACCUCUCUGGGGCUGUUAAAGCGUGUUCUCCGUCACAUCUAAAGAGCUUCUUAUCCAGUACCCCGUUGUCAUCAAGCGCGACGGUUCGAUCCAUCCUGGGAGCCUUUGUGAGGGUGGGCGACCUGAAUAGAGUGCCUGUCAUAGCUCUGUCUGCCCACGCCCAGCAUCAUUCAGCUCUCAGGAAAGCAUGAGAAAGAUAAGGAAAAUGCCAGUGAAACAAGGAGGUAUGUUUGGCUUCUCUGCUCCGAAAAUGAUUGAGGUGUUUUUGUAACAAGCACGUGCCACUUUUUGGAAAACUGUAUUUUUCAAUAGAAUUUUUCCCCUGGGUGCCGGAUCUGCGGGCUACAAAGGACGUGCAACGUCCUGAUUUUGACAUGUUUUCCUUGUCUGUUGUUUCUGUUCACUUUGGGUUUUAUUGCGUUUUGUUUCCAUAGUUUGGGGGUGAGGGUGGAGGAUAGAGGGAGGAAACCAGCUCUUUCCUAUUCCUCACUUUAAUCCUAAAAUAAGAGCUUUAUUGUUUUGUUUUGUUUUUUGAACGAGAUGGUUUAGGAGCAAAAUGACAGAGGUUUUUAUUUGGGGUACUCUCUUUAAAGAAAACUAGUGG
rnacentral:lncRNA from 1 species